UAAGGAAUAUUGGACAAUGGAGGCAACUCUGAUCCAGCCAUGCCGCGUGAAGGAAUAAGGCCCUAUGGGUUGUAAACUUCUUUUAGACGGGACAAAGCCCCUUUACGUGUAAAGGGUUGAUGGUACUGUCAGAAUAAGCAUCGGCUAACUUCGUGCCAGCAGCCGCGGUAAUACGAAGGAUGCAAGCGUUAUCCGGAAUUAUUGGGUUUAAAGGGUGCGUAGGCGGACUAAUAAGUCAGUGGUGAAGCCUGCAGCUUAACUGCAGAAUUGCCAUUGNUACUGUUAGUCUUGAGUACAGUUGAGGUAGGCGGAAUGUGUCAUGUAGCGGUGAAAUGCUUAGAUAUGACACAGAACACCGAUUGCGAAGGCAGCUUGCUAAGCUGUAACUGACGCUGAGGCACGAAAGCGUGGGGAGCAAACA
rnacentral:rRNA from 1 species